AUGAAAUGGAAGUAACUUGCCAAGCUUGUACAGAGCUGACUCCAAAUUUUGGGCUCUUAACUCAAAAGGUUUACUGAAUAUCAUAUACUAUGGAGACAAUCUCUCAAGAUGCAGACUAGAGGCCUGGGGCUCCAAUGACUUCUGAGUGAAACUCAUGAGUGAGUGCAGAGGAGGGAGGCGUUUGGGAGGGCAGGCAUCCCUGCAGCACAAUUCCAGGGAGCUGAGUCUACAGCACUGAAAUGCUUUGGGGUUCCCUGGGCAUUUCUCUUUGUGGCUGUGGCCCGCUCAGGACAUUUGUGGCUCUUGGAAGUGGAGUCAGCUAGGAAGUCUGUCACCUAUGAUGCCAAGGUCUCUGGGAAGUAGGCCUGCUGGGAAAACAGUCCACGUUGUGUCUCAUGACCAGGAACAGCUUGAGAGACUGCUAUACUUGUCGAGCCCUGCAAGUGGUGACUGUCAAUGAGAUCAUCUGGAAGGCCUGAAGGCUUGGACCCAUGGCCUGUCUGCUACCCAUACACUUAUGCAUGUGCAGGCACACACACACACAUACGUGCACUCAUGUGUGCCAAACUCGCAUUGAUCUCUAACUGCCAGUUUGUCCCAAUCAGUGUCUUGGUCCAGGAGUGAGAUGACAAGUAAAAUAAACAUACCUCCUCUUUA